rnacentral:rRNA from 1 species
GAUGAACGCUGGCGGCGUGCCUAAUACAUGCAAGUCGAGCGAAGCGGGGACGGGUGAGUACCACGUGGAUCACCUCCUAUCAGACUGGGAUAACUUCGGGAAACCGGAUCUAAACCGUAUACUUAUAGAUGUAUCCGCGCUGCAUUAGCUAGUUGGUACGGUAACGGCUUACCAAGGCAACGAUGCAUAGCCGACCUGAGAGGGUGAUCGGCAAGACUGGAAGUGGGACACGGUCCAGACGCCUACGGGAGGCAGCAGUAGGGAAUCUUCCGCAAGGGGCGAAAGCCGGACGGAGCAAAUGCGCGUGAGUGAUGAGGGUCUACGGAGCGUAAAACUCUGUUAUUAGGGAAGCGGUACCUAAUCAGAAAGCCACGGCUAACUACGUGCCAGCAGCCGCGGUAAUAC